GGGGUUUGCCCUGCUGGAAGACCCACAGCCUUCAGUGGAGACACAUUUUUUGGACACUGGGUUGAACACUGGACUCAAACGCCUGAUAAUCUGCUAAUUUCAAGCAACCCCACAGCAUUACCAAACCUCCCCCAUCUUUGAUUAUAGGGAGGGUGUUAUUUCAUUGAAAUAACAAAUCAUUUGUCAGUAAACCCAGAUCUGUAUUGCCAAAGAGUUCCGAUUUUGAUUCAUUGGUCCACAGAACCUUUUCCCCAGGAUUUAGGCUUGUUUAGGUGGGUUUUUGAGAAGUCCAAACAGGCUUUUUUUUUGUCUCCAGCAGUAGGGUCUUCCUAUGUUUACUAACAACCAAAUUAGGCAUUCAAAGGAAAUAACACCCUCCCUACAAUCAACCAUGGGGAGGUUUGAUAAUGCUGUAGGGUUGCUUUGCUGCCUCUGGCAGUGCAAGACAUCAGGAAAUCUGCAGAUUAUCAAGGUGCUUUGGAGUGCAAUGUUCAACCAGGUGUCUUUGUCAAAGGUUGUGGAUCUUCCAGUAGGACAACAACCACAAACACGCAUAAAAAGCACCCUGGACUGUUCUAAUAGUCAGUGAAGGGUCCAGAUCUGAAUCACAUCUGUGACGAUCCAUCUAUGGCGAGACAGGACACUUCUCAAACAUUGAAGAAUAAGAGCAGUUUGUUGCUGAAGAGUGGGCCAAAUUGCCAGGAGAAAAGGUACAUAAAGCUUAUUGAUGGCUACAGGAAGCAUUUGUUGGAAUUUCUUGACUGAGUACCUGCUCCUGGGUGACAAUCAUUUUGUUCAUGUCAUUUGUCUUUAUUUUCUAAAUUAAAAUUAAACUUAAGUUUGCAAAAAUAAAACUGGUUCUGCAAUGUGGAAAAUCCAAUAACAAUGUGUGGAGAUCAAUUUUUUUUUUUACUAUUUCAACUUAUUUUUAGAAGGGUGUCAAUAUAUUUGGCAACAACUGGAGGUCUCGAUUUACCCCCCCCCCCCAGCUAUUUUACUAUUUUAUCUUCUGUUUUCAAAUGUUUCCAACAUUUAUGGGGCACCUGAUAAUUGGACAAGUUGCUCUGUGGAUGAUGAUGAUGUGGUUGAUUAUUGUUUAUUUUUGCUCUGAAGUCAGAGUUGGAUUACUCGAAUGGGAACCAUGGCCAUAAUAGAUUGAAGGUGUGUGGGUCUAUCCUCCUUUUUGUUCAUACUGUUGAUUUGUGUUCUGUCAGAAUCUUUAGUUUUUCUGGCCAGCCAGUUUUAUUUUGUUUCUUUUUACCCAAAUGAGUGUGUAACAGGGAGAGCUAGAAGACUAGAUGUUGUACACACUGGUUUCCUGUCAUUUUUGAAUGGUUUUGGCCUGACAACGUUCAGCAGCUUGUGACACUGACGGAACAAUACAGCCACUGAUGCAGGCUCUUCUCCCCAGGGAACAUCUUGUCGAAAUCUCUUGCUCUUUGUUUAUUUCUAGUUUCUCAUUUUUUCCCACUAUCUGUGUCACGUCUCUGAAUGUUGGUUAAGAUAAGAUCUGCACUCUUGAGUCUUUAAAUCAAAUAACUUAUGAGGUUUGAAAUGUUAAAGUGUGGUGAAGGAUGCCAAUGCGGAUGCAGUUCCAUUUAAUUUGUUGGUGAAGGUGGCCCAAGGAUUGGUUCUGAUGCAGUUCUGUUUAAUUUGUUGGUGAAGGUGGCCCAAGGAUUGGUUCUGAUGCAGUUCUGUUUAAUUUGUUGGUGAAGGUGGCCCAAGGAUUGGUUCUGAUGCAGUUCUGUUUAAUUUGUUGGUGAAGGUGGCCCAAGGAUUGGUUCUGAUGCAGUUCUGUUUAAUUUGUUGGUGAAGGUGGCCCAAGGAUUGGUUCUGAUGCAGUUCUGUUUAAUUUGUUGGUGAAGGUGGCCCAAGGAUUGGUUCUGAUGCAGUUCUGUUUAAUUUGUUGGUGAAGGUGGCCCAAGGAUUGGUUCUGAUGCAGUUCUGUUUAAUUUGUUGGUGAAGGUGGCCCAAGGAUUGGUUCUGAUGCAGUUCUGUUUAAUUUGUUGGUGAAGGUGGCCCAAGGAUUGGUUCUGAUGCAGUUCUGUUUAAUUUGUUGGUGAAGGUGGCCCAAGGAUUGGUUCUGAUGCAGUUCUGUUUAAUUUGUUGGUGAAGGUGGCCCAAGGAUUGGUUAUAAUAAUAAUAAUAAUAAUUUGUUGGUGAAGGUGGCCCAAGGAUUGGUUCUGAUGCAGUUCCGUUUAAUUUGUUGGUGAAGGUGGCCCAAGGAUUGGUUCUGAUGCCGUUCUGUUUAAUUUGUUGGGGAAGGUGCCUCGAAGCUUGGUUUUCACAGAUUUUCCGUGCACCAGACAGGUUCCUCAGAUUUCCACUAAUGAUGUGUUUCUCUUUGUAAUGUGACCCUUGCGCAGACUCCUAUUUAGUUUCAGAUAUUUCUCUGUCUCUAUAUGAAAUAAAAUACGAUUGUAUGAAAUGUGAA